CCACACUUACUGUUGCCUCUUCCU
rnacentral:miRNA from 1 species